AGCGGCGGACGGGUGAGUAACGCGUGGGUAACCUGCCUUAUACAGGGGGAUAACAGUUAGAAAUGACUGCUAAUACCGCAUAAGCGCACAGUACCGCAUGGUACAGUGUGAAAAACUCCGGUGGUAUAAGAUGGACCCGCGUCUGAUUAGCCAGUUGGCGGGGUAACGGCCCACCAAAGCGACGAUCAGUAGCCGACCUGAGAGGGUGACCGGCCACAUUGGGACUGAGACACGGCCCAAACUCCUACGGAAGGCAGCAG
rnacentral:rRNA from 1 species